rnacentral:sRNA from 1 species
UAAAUUGUUCUUCAUCUUUGGCUGUGAAUAAGACGGAUACAAACAAAGAGAGAUUUUUACCAUCAGAGUAUCAAUCAAUCACAGCGAGAGGGAACACAUUGAAGAGAAUCGUACCUAAAAGUAAAAUCUACUAACUUCUAUAAAAUUUCAUUUUCAUCGACUACAUUUAUUUCUAUUGUUGGUGCAGGAAUUAGCACCUCCGACAAUACCGGCUUAAACCAGAGGAAUUACGAAUUAGACUGAGAUUGUAAUCAAACCGGGGUAUCCCGGUUUAGCCUGUUAAUGAGCCAAAAUAAGGAGGUCAUUUGCCGACUUUAGCCCCAAGUAGGGAGACCGCCUAGCCGACUUCCUAAUUCGAAGAAAAAGAAGUUUUCUCCUUUGAAAAUAGCAAGUCUUCGAAGAUAAAGGAAAUUAGAAGAUUCAAGCCUCGAAGAAUUGAAAGUUUAACAUAUCUUUUAAUCGUCUUAAUAAUGUAUAAAUAGGGGGAGGGGGGAGGGAGUUGUCCUCUAUUCUAAGGAUCCGAAACUUAAUAAUAAAACCCUAGUUUUCUUCAUUGUUCUUGAGCAAAACCCUAACUUUGUCUCUAACCAACUUUGUUCUUCUUUUCAUUGAGCCUUUGGUCACUAAAUAGCGAGAGAGAGUUAAGUAAAUUUGUUUAUCCCCUUUAAACAAAUUUAUUGUGUGAUUUUCAGAAUCAACACCUAUCAACUUAUUUUACAGUCUGACUUAUAUUUUUUUAUUGUUUUGUUUUUAUGUAAUCGAAUUUUUGAGACCGUUGACUUGUUGUUUUAUUU